GGCACGGUGGUACAGUGGGUAGCACUGUCGCCUCACAGCAAGAUGGUCAUGGGUACGAAUCCGGCCUGGGCCU
rnacentral:tRNA from 1 species